rnacentral:rRNA from 1 species
CUUGCUCCUUGGGUGGCGAGUGGCGGACGGGUGAGGAAUACAUCGGAAUCUGCCUAUUUGUGGGGGAUAACGUAGGGAAACUUACGCUAAUACCGCAUACGACCUACGGGUGAAAGCGGAGGACCUUCGGGCUUCGCGCAGAUAGAUGAGCCGAUGUCGGAUUAGCUAGUUGGCGGGGUAAAGGCCCACCAAGGCGACGAUCCGUAGCUGGUCUGAGAGGAUGAUCAGCCACACUGGAACUGAGACACGGUCCAGACUCCUACGGGAGGCAGCAGUGGGGAAUAUUGGACAAUGGGCGCAAGCCUGAUCCAGCCAUGCCGCGUGGGUGAAGAAGGCCUUCGGGUUGUAAAGCCCUUUUGUUGGGAAAGAAAAGCAGCCGGUUAAUACCCGGUUGUUCUGACGGUACCCAAAGAAUAAGCACCGGCUAACUUCGUGCCAGCAGCCGCGGUAAUACGAAGGGUGCAAGCGUUACUCGGAAUUACUGGGCGUAAAGCGUGCGUAGGUGGUUUGUUAAGUCUGAUGUGAAAGCCCUGGGCUCAACCUGGGAAUUGCAUUGGAUACUGGCAGGCUAGAGUGCGGUAGAGGGUAGUGGAAUUCCCGGUGUAGCAGUGAAAUGCGUAGAGAUCGGGAGGAACAUCCGUGGCGAAGGCGACUACCUGGACCAGCACUGACACUGAGGCACG